rnacentral:rRNA from 1 species
AUGAACGCUGGCGGCGUGGAUAAGGCAUGCAAGUCGAACGAUAUAGUGGCAAACGGGUGCGUAAGACAGUGGUAACCUACCCCGAAGACGAGGAUAACUACCGGAAACGGUAGCUAAUACUCGAUAGUCUAUUUCUCCUCAUGGUGAAAUAGUAAAACUCCGGUGCUUCGGGAGGGACCUUUGGCCCAUCAGCUAGUUGGUGUCGGUAACGGCGCACCAAGGCAACGACGGGUAGCGGGUGUGAGAGCAUGGCCCGCCUCACUGGGACUGAGACACUGCCCAGACACCUACGGGUGGCUGCAGUCGAGAAUCUUCCUCAAUGGCCGCAAGGCUGAAGGAGCGACGCCGCGUGCAGGAAGACGCUUUUCGGAGUGUAAACUGCUUUUCUUAGGGAGAAACUUGCGAUGUUACCUAAGGAAUAAGGGGCUGCUAAUUAUGU